rnacentral:rRNA from 1 species
GUAUGUGGCAAGCGUUGUCCGGAAUUAUUGGGCGUAAAGCGCGCGCAGGUGGUUCUUUAAGUCUGAUGUGAAAGCCCCCGGCUCAACCGGGGAGGGUCAUUGGAAACUGGGGAACUUGAGUGCAGGAGAGGAAAGUGGAAUUCCACGUGUAGCGGUGAAAUGCGUAGAUAUGUGGAGGAACACCAGUGGCGAAGGCGACUUUCUGGCCUGUAACUGACACUGAGGCGCGAAAGCGUGGGGAGCAAACAGGGAUUAGAUACCCUGGUAGUCCACGCCGUAAACGAUGAGUGCUAAGUGUUGGGGGGGUUUCCCGCCCCGUCAGUGCUGCAGCUAACGCAUUAAGCACUCCGCCUGGGGAGUACGGUCGCAAGACUG